CUCAAUGAGUCCGUGGCAGCAUUGUAACCAAUGAGGCUAAUCCGAGGCUCAGUUAUUGCUAAUUGAAAUUUUAGUGUGCUGAUGCACUGUAUGUCUCUAUUUCUUUGAAGCUCUUCUUUUGAGUAAACACACAAAGGAGUCUUAUGAAUGUUAGCUACACCUUCACUUGA